UGGCGGCGUGCCUAACACAUGCAAGUCGCACGAGAAAGAGGGGGCAACUCCUUGAGUAAAGUGGCGUACGGGUGAGUAACACGUGACUAACCUACCUCCGAAUGGGGAAUAACACCGGGAAACCGGUGCUAAUACCGCAUAACAUCUACGGAUCAAAGCAGCAAUGCGUUUGGAGAGGGGGUCGCGGCUGAUUAGCUAGUUGGUAGGGUAGUGGCUUACCAAGGCGACGAUCAGUAUCCGGCCUGAGAGGGCGCACGGACACACUGGAACUGAAACACGGUCCAGACUCCUACGGGAGGCAGCAGUGGGGAAUUUUGCGCAAUGGGGGAAACCCUGACGCAGCAACGCCGCGUGGAGGAUGAAGGUCUUUGGAUUGUAAACUCCUUUCGAUCGGGACGAUUAUGACGGUACCGGAAGAAGAAGCACCGGCUAACUCUGUGCCAGCAGCCGCGGUAAUACAGAGGGUGCAAGCGUUGUUCGGAAUUAUUGGGCGUAAAGGGCGCGUANGCGGUGCGGUAAGUCCGCAGUGAAAUCUCUGGGCUCAACUCAGAGUCUGCUGUGGAAACUG
rnacentral:rRNA from 1 species